UCGUCGCCACUACAGUCGCGCCCGGGAGUAACCCCCGCCGGCCCCUUCUCGCUUCUCCCCGCUUCCCCCCCACUACAACGCGUUACACAACGGGCGAUCUGGUGGAGGAGGAGGGGGGAGACGAGCACCGGGAGGUGUUUGAGCUCGCUGAGCCGCCAGGCGCAGCCCGCGCCACGGACGCGCCGAGCCGUGCGGGCUGCGGAGCCGCCGCGCGAAACGAGCGAUCAGUGGGGGAAGAAAUCGCCUGGGAGCCGCGGCGGAGCCCCGCGGAGUGGCGCAGCCUGCCCUCCGGCGUGCCCGCACGGGGGUCUCGGGGUAGAGAAACCCAUUUCCAGGCGCGGAAGUCCUAGAAUCGGAAUCGUUUCGGUUGGGAAAGACUUUUAAGAUUAUGAAGAGCCAAAAAAGGGCACUUCUGGGCCCGUUUUGGGGGUGGCGAAGACGCAGCCAGGCCCCCAAAGCCUCAGAGUAGUGAGCUGGCCUUUGAGGGGUGCAGGGCAAGGGAGAGACUGUUGAGCGAGUGGGGAUCCCUGAGACUCCCCCCUUAUCCCCCGGCCAUGCUGGGUCUCCCCAGGGCUUUAUCUCUUUGCACCACAGUUUGACCUAAUUCCAGUCCGUUUCCUCCCGAAAACGGAGUCGGUAAAUAUCAGCCGAGUCCUCUCCGCACCCCAGCACCGCACUCCCUCGCCCCGCAAUAAGCUGUUCUAGACUCUUGGGGGGCGGCUUAGGGCAAGGCACUGUCAUGCCCUAAAUGAGGAAGGACUGGGAAUAGCAAACUUUGCUCGGUGGGCAGCGCCGGGUCGCACCUAACGAGCACCCCCCAGACAGAGACGAAUUUCCACCCAAUUAAAGAUGUCACCGCAACGA